AACCGGACACGCGACCUCCCUAGCGCGAUUCUAUACUGGUUUGGUCCGAGCUGGCGCCACACCAUCGCCACGUUGACUUUGUGACGUCUGGAAGGCCCACCUGUCAGUGUCGUCGGUCGCAUAGGGAGUGAAAAAGACGUGGCCGCCCUUUUAUCCCCCAUCCACCCCUAUUCCGGUGAGGCUGAGCAGGGGCGGCGCCGCUGCCAAGCUCCGCUCAUUCUUGCGCAUCAAGGUCGCACUGGCGGGUUGGGAGAGGUCACAUCAGGUCGGGUCAAAGCCGGGAGAAGCAGAGUUGGCAGGACGGAGCGGAGCUCGCAGGGCAGGGCGAGGCGGCGCAGCGGGGCUACGGCUCGGCUCUACGACGAUGGCGGCGGGCGGCCACUGCCGCGAGUUGGGUCGAGCGGAGCGACGGCGAGACCGGGGAGGAAGGCAUCUAGCUCUACGCGGAGGGCGUCGUUGGUUGCGCGUAUCCUCGGCGGCAAAUCCCUCCCUAAAGUUUGCCGACGAGGACAAAGUGCACUCAUGGAGGAAGCAGAGCUUAAAUUUUUGGUUCGAUUCAUGUGGUUAGGCAUCGGCGCACCCUCCUGCCAUGGCGCUUGCUUCGUUUUGGUGGAGUAUUUUUGCUUGCUUGGACGGAUUGCUCCACAAUUAAGUUCCGAUUCUCUUGCUUGCGCAGGUGGAGCAGAAGCUGGUGGGCUGACGUGAGGAGCAAGGAGGCGACGCCGACGAGCAAUGACAGCAUGUGAUUGAGAACAGACGACGCUGUUUUUUUUUUUUGAAGGAGAAGCUCUCUGCUUUUAUAGAAAGCGUAUAAAGGAGUUUACAGAACGGAACCGAAAGAAACAAGAAGAAAAAACGCGUUCAACACAAAAGACCAACACUGGAACAGGGAGCACAGACAUCUAAAGACCCACAACAUCCGGUAGCAGGUUGUUGGUCGGUUGGAAGUUGCUCAGCCACCUCGCCAUCUUCUUGGUAGCUCCAUCCAACUUCUCCUAAUCAUCCUCCUUGAGAAGAGGGCGCCAUUUCUGCAGAAAUGAUAUACCAAGGAGAUUGGAGCCUAAAUCAAGGAGUCUACUAUGUUGGAGAACUUCAAGAACUCGACGGAAGCUCUCUUCAAUCAAGGUCAGGAAUCGAAGGUCGCGCGCUAUAUCAAGGCUCAUCUUAUGCGGAAGAUGCAUUUCGACCAAAUCUCCGAGAUAGAAGACUUUGAAUCGUAGAUUUUACAAGCAGUUAACUUAGCAUUCAUAAUUUAUUUAGUCUGUAUCUUGUAGGCUGUAGCCGUGUGUCUGUAGAUUCCCCCUUUUUCGUCUCUGAUCUAUUAUGUAUAUUUCUUGACAUGUAAAGAACGAUGAUAGGAGUUGCAUAGCAAAUUCUUCUGUCGAAAUGCUCUGUAAUUGUUUAGAGUUCAAUCAGAAUAAAACCUGUAUUCGGAAGCCCUCUCUAACAAAUGUCUUGGUCUCCGUUGAUACUGAAAA